rnacentral:pre_miRNA from 14 species
GUUCAGGGGAAUGGUGUCUGAUUCGAGACCAUUCGUCACAAGUAAACAGUAGCCUUGAGAAUGAUCUCGGACCAGGCUUCAUUCCCCCUAGC